AUUGAACGCUGGCGGCAGGCCUAACACAUGCAAGUCGAACGGUAACAGAAAGCAGCUUGCUGCUUUGCUGACGAGUGGCGGACGGGUGAGUAAUGUCUGGGAAACUGCCUGAUGGAGGGGGAUAACCACUGGAAACGGUAGCUAAUACCGCAUAACGUCGCAAGACCAAAGAGGGGGACCUUCGGGCCUCUUGCCAUCGGAUGUGCCCAGAUGGGAUUAGCUUGUUGGUGGGGUAACGGCUCACCAAGGCGACGAUCCCUAGCUGGUCUGAGAGGAUGACCAGCCACACUGGAACUGAGACACGGUCCAGACUCCUACGGGAGGCAGCAGUGGGGAAUAUUGCACAAUGGGCGCAAGCCUGAUGCAGCCAUGCCGCGUGUAUGAAGAAGGCCUUCGGGUUGUAAAGUACUUUCAGCGGGGAGGAAGGGAGUAAAGUUAAUACCUUUGCUCAUUGACGUUACCCGCAGAAGAAGCACCGGCUAACUCCGUG
rnacentral:rRNA from 1 species